rnacentral:rRNA from 1 species
GUAGGUGGCAAGCGUUGUCCGGAUUUAUUGGGCGUAAAGGGCGCGUAGGCGGUUCGUUAAGUCCGGCGUGAAAUCUCCCGGCUCAACUGGGAGCGGUCCUCGGAUACUAACGGACUAGAGGGGGGUAGAGGAAGGUGGAAUUCCCGGUGUGGCGGUGAAAUGCGUAGAUAUCGGGAGGAACACCCGUGGCGAAGGCGGCCUUCUGGGCCUACCCUGACGCUGAGGCGCGAAAGCGUGGGGAGCAAACCGGAUUAGAUACCCGGGUAGUCCACGCCCUAAACGUUGGACACUAGGUGUGGGGGGUAUCGACCCCCUCCGUGCCGCAGCUAACGCGUUAAGUGUCCCGCCUGGGAAGUACGGCCGCAAGGCUA